rnacentral:snoRNA from 1 species
GUCCUUGGCCUUGUUGCGCCAUUGGUGUUGGGUCCUCGGACUCGGCGCCUUUGGUGCGCCUGGCCUAAAAAGCAUUCGUGCUGGGCUCUCAAUGUCCGGUUAAGGAGUGCAACGUCGCAGAUAAAACUGCCCCUCGGGUGGCGGAGCUUGAUAUAUUCCAGUAACGGUGCGAAGCCGCUCAGGCUAUGAUCGCUCGGUUAAACCAUAUUACGCACAGCC